CACUGUCGUUUUUAAUUGGUCGUCUUGAAAAAAAACAUAAGGGGGGUAACACUCGUUUUUAAUUGGUCGUCAUGAAAAAAACAUAAGGGGUAACACUGUUGUUUUUUAUUGGUCGUCAUGAAAAAAACAUAAGGGGUAACACUGUCGUUUUUAUAUUGGUCGUCAUGGAAAAAAACAUAAGGGGUAACACUGUUGUUUUUUAUUGGUAGUCAUGAAAAAAGACAUAGGGGGUUACACUGUCGUUUAUAAUUGGUCGUCAUGAAAAAAAACAUAAGGGGUAACACUGUCGUUUUUAAUUGGUCGUCAUGAAAAAAAACAUAAGGGGUGUAACACUCUUGUUUUUUAUUGGUCGUCAUGAAAAAGAACAUAAGGGGUAACACUGUCGUUUUUUAUGGGUCGUCUUGAAAAAAAA
ensembl:lncRNA